UCCCUGGUGACCCAGUGGUUAGGACUCUGCACUUCCACUUCAGCAUCUCAGGUUCAAUCCCUGGUCGGGGAA
rfam:Ovis aries breed Texel chromosome 2, whole genome shotgun sequence.